GUCUUUUUGAUUAUAAUUUAAAGUCUAAUCUGCCCCCUGAAAGGUUUUAAAGGGCCGCGGUAUUUUGACCGUGCAAAGGUAGCAUAAUAAUUAGUCUUUUAAUUGAGGGCUAGAAUGAAUGAUUGGACGAGGCAUUAACUGUCUCAAUUUAAAUGUUAAUAGAAUUUAANUUUUGAGUUAAAAAGCUUAAAUGAAAUUAAAGGACGAGAAGACCCUAUAGAGCUUUAUAUAUUUAUUAUAAUUUAUUUAUGGAAAGAUUAAUUAAAUUUAUAAAAAUAUAUAUUUUGUUGGGGUGACGAGAAGAUUUAUUAAACUCUUUUUAUUUUUUUUACAAUGAUUUUUGAAUAAUUGAUCCAUUUAUAGUGAUUAUAAGAUUAAGUUACCUUAGGGAUAACAGCGUAAUUUUUUUUGAGAGUUCAUAUCGAUAAAAAAGAUUGCGACCUCGAUGUUGGAUUAAGGGUUAUUUUUGGGUGUAGAAGUUCAAAGUUUANGNCUGUUCGACCUUUGAAUCCUUAC
rnacentral:rRNA from 1 species